CUGCGAAGAGGGCCAACCCUGCUUUUCCAUAUAAAACAGCCCUGUAGAAAUGUUUCUUACAAUAUUUUUAAAUUCCCCCCCCCCUGACCUUUUUAAUUCUCAAAUAGUUCAUUACACAUUUAUUGGUUAGUGUUAGAAAAGGGGUUGGGGUCUGUUUAUCCAUACCUUAUCUUAAAUAUUCCGACUACAGUACAAAUAGCAAAUGGGCUAUUCCAUUUAAUAUCCGUACCCCCCCUGUCGAGGAUACAUGUUUUUCAUUGUCAUACCCCUGAAGAAUUCCAAGCUCAAAACUGUUUACCCCUGAAGAAUUCCAAAAUUCCAAGCUCAAAACUCUUUACCCCUGAAGAAUUUCAAGCUCAAAACCUUUUACCCCUGAAGAAUUCCAAAAUUCCAAGCUCAAAACCCUUUACCCCUGAAGAAUUCCAAGCUCAAAACCUUUUACCCCUGAAGAAUUCCAAGCUCAAAACCCUUCACCCCUAAAGAAUUCCAAGCUCAAAACCCUUUACCCCUGAAGAAUUUCAAGCUCAAAAUCUUUUACCCCUGCAGAAUUCCAAGCUCAAAACCCUUCACCCCUGAAGAAUUCCAAGCUCUGAAAAAUUUCAAUCUCAAACCUCUUUACCCCUGAAGAAUUCCGAGCUUAAAACCCUUUACCCCUGAAGAAUUCCAAGCUCAAAACCAUUUACCCCUGAAGAAUUCCAAACUCAAAACACUUUACCCCUGAAGAAUUCCAAGCUCAAAACACUUUACCCCUGAAGAAUUCCA